UACGUAGGGUGCAAGCGUUGUCCGGAAUUAUUGUGCGUAAAGAGCUCGUAGGCGGUUUGUUGCGUCGGCUGUGAAAUCCCGAGGCUCAACCUCGGGUCUGCAGUCGAUACGAGCAAACUAGAGUGUUGCAGGGGAGACUGGAAUUCCUGGUGUAGCGGUGAAAUGCGCAGAUAUCAGGAGGAACACCGGUGGCGAAGGCGGGUCUCUGGGCAACAACUGACGCUGAGGAGCGAAAGCGUGGGGAGCGAACAGG
rnacentral:rRNA from 1 species